rnacentral:misc_RNA from 1 species
AACUAAUUAAUUUUAAAAGAAAAGAGAAAGAAUUACAAUUAAUAGAAUAUUAUAUUGGGAUGCAAACUUUGAUAUAUAUAUAUAGUACAAUGCUAAUGUCACGCCCAAAAUCAACUGUUGCGGGUCUACUAAAUUAUACAAUGCUUCAUUUAAUUUUAUUGUAACAGAAACAUUCUUGAAUAUAAAUAUGCUCAUUCUUUCUUGACUUCUGGGCUGAAUCUAUAUGAUAAUUUAGCUCUACGCUUAAAACACUUGAUAUUUGGGAUGUGCAGCACCUUUGAACGAUCUUUGCUUUCCACAUCAUUUACACGUCCUACAAGACUUGAAGAACAGUUUGUCAAAAUCAGAGAUUGAAGAUUGGUAAGGGAUUCAAUACCAUAAGGCACUGCAUUUAACAUCAAGCAGGAAUCGAUCCACAAUUCUUGGAUAUCUGUCAUAACCCCCUUCUUUAUAGUGAUUCCCGUCAGUCGAGGGAAAUCUAUUAACCAUAAUAUUUUAAGCUUAGCAAAGCCACUGCAGAAAUGUAGAUUUUCUUCAACAAAGGAAUUAACUAGAAUAACCUUUCUCAAAUUGGGCAGUGCUGCAAUGUGAGGGAGUGCAUCUUCCUUUAAUCUAGACCAAUGCAACCACAAAUAUGUUAGGUAUUGAAGUGAGCAAAACCAAUGCGGUACACUUUCUAGUUUCCCAAACAAAAAAAGCUUCUGAAGUUGGGGUGAGGGUGUUCUCAAUGCAUCCACUCGAAGGAACUCCGUUUCAUUAUUCACCAUUAGACACAAGUGGUGUAGUAGUUUCAAGUUCUGGAUUGAAGAGCACAUGUUCUGUUCAUCUGCUUCUUUCAAAUUUGAAAUGCCCAUUCUGCUUACUUGGGUCAUACUUCUAAGUUGCUUUAUUAUGUUGCCUUCGGCUUCAAUGUUUGCCAUGACUUGCAAUUUCUUCAAUUUGCUAAUUUCAAAUGGUACCUGCAUCCCCCUGACAAGUUCAAAAUUAUGGAUGUCCGCAAUAAACUUACUCCACAUAUUUAGAUGGCGCAAGUUCUGCAACUUAGCUACUUCACUCGGAAGUUCUUUUAUAUUUGUUUCACUAAUGUCUAACAGCUCGAGGUUUCGGAGUUCUCCAAUAGAUUUUGGAAACUCUGCCAUUGGAGUCCCUCUCAAGUUCAAGCACCUUAAGUUGAAUAGAGUCCCCAGCUCUUCUGGCAAUACAUCAAUUGCCGCAUUUUCCAAAUCCAAAGUCCUCAAUAAUUUGAAUUUUUACAGCAAUGUAUUUGAGAAAGAC